rnacentral:misc_RNA from 1 species
AACGGUCUAUACCUGCGGUACCUGCGGAGGGAUCAUUAAUGAGAAGCUGCCCCUCGUGGGUAGACCUCCCACCCUCUGUGAACUUACCUUUGUUGCUUUGGCAGGCCCGUCCUCUGGACCGCCGGCUUCGGCUGGCCCGUGCCUGCCAGAGGAUUCCAAACCCUGUCUGUCAGUGUUGUCUGAGUCUAUAUGAAAUCGUUAAAACUUUCAACAACGGAUCUCUAGAUCGGAAGAGCACAC